rnacentral:lncRNA from 1 species
CGUUGUAAAAGUGUAACGGGUCACAAACUGCCUAGUCCGAGAGAGAUAAGUAAUAGUGUACACGACGAUGGGAUGACAGCUCCUAGGGAUCAUAUUUAUAAUAUUAACUUGAUACAUUUUGGUUUACUAGUCGCUUUUGAUGUCAUAUCAACACCAUUACUUCAAGGUAGGACCAGGUCAUUUAGACAUCACAAAAGAAGGUGCCUGUGAAUUCGCCAAUAAAAAAAAUAUCAUAAUAGAUAUAAGAAAAUGUGGUAUGAGUGCCAAUGAGACAACUAUCUAUCCAAGUUACAGUUUGUAAAGUAAACCAUUAUAGGGCAACACAGAGCCUAGACUUACAACGAACAGCAAGCUAUAAAGAGCCCCAAAAAUUACUAGAGUAAAACAAUUCAAACGGGAAAACCGACGAUUUAAUCUAUUAGAAAAAGAGAAACGGGAAACACUUAUGACCACAUAAAAACAUACUGCACAUCAGAUUCCUAACUUAUAUAUCUACCAAAUCAUUUCCUGUAAAUGUUAGGACAUCGGUUUGAAUAAUUUGAAUGUUGUCUGAUAUGUUAUCAUUAGAAAUUAAGCGCAAACAGCAAAACUGCCAAAAUAGUAACAUUUCUUGCCAUUUUCAUUUGGAAAUAAGCAAUAUCAUUGCAUAAAAAUGUAAAUGUUAUAUUUAUUUACGCGAAAGACAUGUGAAAGAUACCGUGGGUUUAUUCAAAAACAGGUUCCUCAGAAAGGUUAGCAGAUCAUGAUCCUUAUUUGACAAACUUUAAAUAACUAUCGUCUCCACUAGAUACUUAGAUACCCAAACACGGGUGAAGCCAGCAUAGCAGAAGACACGUUUGUGGUUUACCUUUACGAGUAUCUUUGAAUUGGACAUAGGUAAACGACUGAUAAUUUAACACGCAAAUUGUUUGAAGUCUUUUCUUCAAAUUUAAGAAGAUAUAUAUAUAAAAAAAAAACAUAUGGACAAAACAACAAAACCAUAGUUUUGCAUGAUUUUUUCAUUUUACUUUUAUUUUUAUUUUUCAUUCUGAUCAGACGGUAAUGAAAAUAUUGUAUGCUGUAUGGGGGACAAGCCAGUCAAAAG